rnacentral:rRNA from 1 species
AAACUUUCAACAACGGAUCUCUUGGUUCCCGCAUCGAUGAAGAACGCAGCGAAACGCGAUAGUUAAUGUGAAUUGCAGAAUUCAGUGAAUCAUCGAGUCUUUGAACGCACAUUGCGCCUUUUGGUAUUCCGAGAGGCACGUCCGUUUGAGCGUCAGU